AUUACAGGCAGCUGCUGCUACUUUAGGGAGAAGAGUGCUUGUGCCUGUUCUGCUAGCUGGGCUCCAAAGAAAAGAACUACCUCAUCUUUCAGCUGGGAUGAUGUGGCCACAGGGUCAGCAGGAAUGCUGCAGCUCUGUUAGGUUUUGUUCUGCAUGUGUUACCUGGAUGGGAGUUUUUCCUCACUGGAAUGGGGCUCCAGAGGUUGUAAAGCUUUUGUAGAGGAGGAGUGAAGAGUUAGGACAGAUGGUUGAAGGUUGACUUUGUGAAAAUUGUGUCCCUGUAGUAAAAUUGCUGCUCAGACUGCUCUUUUUCUAGGCCUGGAGAUUGCCUGUAUUAAAACUAUUUUGGGGGGUGGGGGGCAUUUUUUGUAAUUUCCAUUGAAAAAAUUCUGUGUUGCAGUUCUUCAAGUUUAUGGUGUUGGUAUCUAAUUGAAAAACAACAACCAAAAAAAAAUCACAAAAAGCAAUUCCCCAGAAAUAUUGGAAGUAGUCUUCUGUGUGCAAAGGUGUUUCAGAUGAAAUCUAAGCCUCCUGUGGAGGAAGGAAAAAAUCACCUGACAGCUGUAGACUGUUCCUUUCCUGCAGAAAUACAGCAAUUUCCUCAAAUGCAAGUGGAACAAGCAUCCUUGAGCUUUUCUGAAGCUUAUAUUUAAUUUCAGUACAUUUCAGUGCAUUUAAUUUGGUGAUUGCUCUUGUAUAGUUAGAGAAUCAAUGAAGCCUCAUUAUAGGUUGGUUGGGUGUCUAGCUGGUUGUUCCUAUGUUUUUCUGAUCCCAGUGAAGGAAGCCUGUUGGAAUUUGGAUCAAACAGUGGCCAAAGUGCAGAUUUCUUGAGCUUGAAUCCAAGUGGUGACUUUAAGAGCAUUCACUGUGUUGGUGUGGAUCAGAGCUUAUUGUAAGAACCUCAGAUAUAAAGAAGUUUUGGUUUUUUAGCAGGUUACAUUCUGUUCCUGUACUAGCUGUAUUAUUGCUUUUUUGUAUAUCUCAAGGUGUUUACAUAUACUUGUAAUUGUUAUAAUGUGUCUGUAAUCAAGCUCAUCUGUGCCUUCAUGCAGACUUCCAAUAAACACUUGAUUUUUUUGUAUUUACUUGUAUGG
rnacentral:lncRNA from 1 species